UAGGAAUGAAGAAGAGAUAAAUACAUUACAACACCAACAAAGCUGAGAGAGGUUGCCGACCUGUGGCAGGCCUGACAAGACAGCAUCAAAGAGUUCUGUACAGUGCAGCAAAACUAUGGGAAAUAGCAACAGGACAGCAGCAGUGGGGAUGUACCAAGCAUGGCCCAUGACUUUCUGCAACACAUACUGGUUCUCUGGAAGAUAUCAACCUACAGAGCAAAGUCACUCUCCCAAACACAGUAUAUUGGACUAUGUGAUGCC
rnacentral:lncRNA from 1 species